CGGCAGAUGCGUCGUUCGUCGACGACCUCGGCGCCGACUCGCUCGACACGGUGGAGCUCGUGAUGGCGUUCGAGGAAGAGUUCGGGAUCGAGAUUCCGGACGAGGACGCCGAGAAGAUCACGCGCGUCAAAGAAGCCAUCGACUA
rnacentral:misc_RNA from 1 species